rnacentral:tRNA from 1 species
GCCUGGUUGGCUCAGUGGGUGAGCAUCUGCCUUCAGCCCAGAGGCUCAGGUCAUGAUCCUCGGGUCCCAGGAUUGAAUCCUGCAUCAGGCU